UACGUAGGGUGCGAGCGUUGUCCGGAAUUACUGGGCGUAAAGAGCUCGUAGGUGGUUUGUCGCGUUGUUCGUGAAAUCUCACGGCUUAACUGUGAGCGUGCGGGCGAUACGGGCAGACUAGAGUACUGCAGGGGAGACUGGAAUUCCUGGUGUAGCGGUGGAAUGCGCAGAUAUCAGGAGGAACACCGGUGGCGAAGGCGGGUCUCUGGUACGUGACUGACGCUGAGACGCGAAAGCGUGGGGAGCAAACAGG
rnacentral:rRNA from 1 species